rnacentral:lncRNA from 1 species
CUAAAAUAAAAGUUGAAAUUAUUUUUUAAAAAGCCUAGGCUUCUUCCUAAACCCCCAAACAUUUUUAUUUACUCAACUAUGUAAAUGGAAUAUCUAAUUUGUAAUACCAGGUUAAAGAUAAACAUAAUAAAUCUUAUUUUUCUUUUAGUUAGGUCAAUUCAGUAGUCUUUUAAGCUAUAUCUAGAUAUAGCUUGGAUAAUUAUUGAUUUAAAACAAAGCAAAUAAAACUCAUGAACCAACAUUAUGUUGGGAUAUAAAUAAAAUUUACUUCACAGUAAAUUCUGUCAAAUUUCACUUUUGAGUUCUUUGAUAUACUAUAUAAAUUGUGUUGAAACAUGUUUACCAAAGGCUAAUUUAUAAAAGUAAUAAAAGAAAAAAUGGUUGUUAGGAGGAAAAAUGGCUAAAUUACCAUGGUGGAUAAAUAAAAUGAAAUUUGAUAUAAUCAUUAAUGUAAUACAGAAUAAUAAAUAAGAAUAUGUAAAGAUAUUCCUAGCAUAUUGUAAAAACUAAAUUAUAAAAUAAUAUGUACCACUCUUACCUCACUAUGAACACAUUAGAUACUAGUAUAUAUCUACAUAUACAUAUAUGUAGGAUGUAUAUGUCUGUCGCUGACUACACACAUGUAUAAAAGACUGGAUGCAUGGAUAAAUAGUAAGAUGAAAUGUCUUUUAGUUUUCUUUUUUGCUUAUCUGAUUUAAAAAAAAUUUUUAAAGUGAACCUGUGGUGUCUUUGUAUUGAAUAAAAAGUCUUAAACUUUUUUUAUCAUCUUGUGACUCUUUAGUCACCCUUGUCACAGAAAAUUCAUUUCAUCAGAAUAUCUGGCAAUGUCAUUACAAUGAUGGUUUGGGUCCUCGAAUAAAGAUUUCAUGAAAAAUGUGAAGAAAAAGAUGGUCCUUUUCCCUUUUUUCUAUUUAGAUAUUUUGAAAUAGAUAUAUUGAAGGGAGUUAGACAUGUUCCACAACAAUUAUGAAAAAAAAUCAGUCCAUUAAGCUUGCCAUCCUGACCUACAUGAUAUUUCUAUUGAAAGAAGUACAGUACUCAAGAUAAUUCCCAUAUAAGGCACUGAAAUCAGCAUUAAAGGAUUUUGAAUUACAGCUGAUGAGCAUGCAAGUCUGAAAGAAGACAUUAAUUUUUUUUUAAGUUCUGAAUAGUGUUUAAAUUUCUAAGAUAAGAGCUACAUUAACAGAAAUUUAUAUAUAUCUUCUUUUUAUUUCUCUAUACAUAUGAACACAUAGGAGAAGAGUCGAAAAAAUGACCAUGCACAUUGUCUAUUUAUACUUUGGCAUGAUUUGCAGACAUAAUUACUGUUGAAGGAAGAAAUAAACUCAAAUAUAUUAUUUCUCAGUCAUAGUGAUGUUUGAAUAUUUGCCUAUAUUUUAUGCCUUAUAAUUACAGACAAAAUAACAAUGUAACACAUUUGUUCUGGCCAUUAUAUGCAUGUUAAACACAGUUGCAAAACUCAAGGUAUGCAAAUAUUUUAUGGGUUAUUCAAAAUCACAUUAGUUGUAAUUUAUUUAAUAGUUUUUGAAGUGCAAAAUUAGACAUGCACAUACUUUCAUUUUAGGCUACUUGUUUUAUCCACAUCUGAAUUAAUUAAACUGCACUUCCCAGUAAAUAUCUGUAGACUGACAAAGACUGUAUGAGAAAGUUAUUGUGAAAAACACUUUCGGAAGAUUCUUGAAACUUUCAGUCUUCUAAACUCAUAGAAUUUUGUCUUUAGUUAGGUCACGAAUACCAUUUUUGUUAAGAAUAAGCCAAUGUAUUUGGUUUGUUUAAUUGCUCCUUUUUUCAAAAGCUUUGUUAUUAUAUUUCCUUCUUUUAAAUUAUAGGUCAUAAAAUAUGUAGCCUAUAAAAUCAUUCUCAUUGGGAAAGAAUUGCAGAAAAGUCAUUAUCUUUUGAAGAUAAGUAUAGUUAAAAGGUAAAUUUAAGCCUUUGGACAUCAUAUAGGUGAUCACUGAGCAAUGAAACUGAUGUUCACAUCAAAAUUACUGAUUGUUACCCAUUCUAUUUAUUAAGGCAAACUCAUCAUUGAAAAUUAAAAAUAAGUUUUUGAGUUUUAUAAACAUAAAAAAGUUUCUUGUUAACUCCCCUAUAACAUUUUACAUAUACCUUGAUGAUCGCUUAAAAUAGUUUGUUUAAAAUAGUGUGAAGUAAAAAUUCUAGUCAGUUUUAAAUAGUUUGAAUUAAGAUUCCUGAAUACUGUACCUACUGUGAAAAAAGGGAGUGAAAGGCAGAAAAUUCAUAUUAGAGUGUUUUACAUAUUAUCUAGGAUGGAAUGUAAUAAACUGUUUUAAAUAUCCUUCUAGUUGUUAUGAUAGGAUGUCUUUAGAUAAAUUUACAGAAUUUAUUUUAUUUUACUAAUUGAUUGGUAUAUUCAUCAUCCACAGAUAUAUUAGUGAAAGCUGGAUUCUAAAUGACUUUCCUAUGAUAAGCUUUCCAAUUAAUUCUUCUCACACUGUUUUCCUGGUGACAUUUGAACUUCUUUCAUUAUAUAAAACACAUCUGGAAUGAUACAUUGCUGAAUAAUAAACAUGGAUGCGAACAUGUUAAAGAUUGGACCCCUGACAUAGUCAAAUAUGUUCUGGUUUAAAACAAUGACCUCAACUAAUUCUGCUUUAAGUGAAUCACAUUUAGAAAGAAUAUAUAGGCAUGUCUUUUUAGCCUGCCUGUCUUGUGCUAGAAUUGGUCAAAGAGAGAGAAAUGAAAUUGUAAACUGUGUCUUCCUUGUUUGAGAUGACGAUAGUAAGUCAUAUUUUCCCUCCCAUCUGCAAAUAUUAUUUUCUUUUUCUUGUCUGAUAUUAAAAAUACUGCAAUAAGGAAAUAUUUAAAAAGUAUUAUCUAAAACAUAUGUUAAAUCAUGUAUUACUUAUAAUUUACAUCUGUUUCAUAGGGCUACUAAAUUUCUUCCAUAGUGUAUUUCAUAAAGGAGAAGAUGCUGAUAAGAUCUUGUUUAAAUGGCUUGCUAAUACAAGAAGCAGAUCAUUUUAAAUGGACCUUACAUCUUUAUAGGAUGUUAGAAAUGAAGACAUUACCUCAAAAUAAAACCUUGGCUGACAUACUCAAGGCUGAAAUGCAGUCAGCGGAAAUGGAAACACUUCAACUCUGCCCCUGUGGCAAGAAUGGCUUCCCUUCAGACAAUCUGGCCAGAUUCUUUAUGGACCCAAUGGGAGAAAUUGGAUGCUUGUAUAUACCUCUCAGCAUCUUUGAAGGGGCACUGAAACUUCAAUCAAAUUGGGGAAAGGGAGCCCUGAACUUUAGACCUGUUUUAAAUGUGCAGAGGUAGGAUUGAGACUUUCUUUCCUUUCUAAAAUACCUCUCAUGAUUCUUAACUACUUUUAUAGAGUCCUUGAGCCUUAAGUCUCAGCCAUAUUAAAAUCCCUUUUUCAAAGACAUUUGCUGAAGGAAUAAUGGCUUAGUACUAAGAAAAAACACCACAAGUUAAAAAUGUACUUGGCUAUAAUGGAAUUUAUUAUCAUAAACUACAAUUGUCAGUUAAGUUGUGUUCCUUAAGGCAUUAACAGUGUUUGCCCAAAAUGAGCUGAUUUAUCAUCAGUACUAAGAAAUCUUUUGUGAAUUAUUGUUGAUGCUAAACACAGUUUUUGAUUGUGAUAAUAGCUUGGCCUUGGAGUCCGGUUUACUUGCUUGCAAAUUAGCCAGUGUUCUUUGGUGCAGGGGAUGAGAAAUGUGACAUUGACUUUGGAAUUGUGAUCAAUAGCUUUUGAUCUAAGAAUCCUUUUUCUUUUUUGCAAGUGGCAACUGGCACAAGGAACACUUUCCAUCUGUAAGAAAGAAUACAAAGAACUUGGAACAAGAAAAAAGUAGAUAUCUCAUCAGUCAAUGUUGCUGUAUAGGUAAAGUCUGAAUUUUUUUAAAAAAGCAGAAGCAUCUCUAUUAUAAAGAUUUAAUAGUUGCAGGGUAGUGUAGACAGGGCUCUGUAUGUUAAAGCAUUAAAAACAGAAGCAAAACAACAUAAAACAAAAGUGUCCCUUUAAUGAGUUCAGUCUUACAUGACCAAAAUGUUGUUAUAAUUGCCCCUAGGAUUCUACCUACAAAAAUGGAUUAUUUAGUUGGGUAUUGUAUUAGUCCAUUCUGGCACUGCUAUAAAGAAAUACCUGAAACUGGGUAAUUUGUAAAGAAAAGAG